UACGUAGGGUGCAAGCGUUGUCCGGAAUUAUUGGGCGUAAAGAGCUCGUAGGCGGUUUGUCGCGUCUGCUGUGAAAACUCGGGGCUCAACCCCGAGCUUGCAGUGGGUACGGGCAGACUAGAGUGCGGUAGGGGAGACUGGAAUUCCUGGUGUAGCGGUGGAAUGCGCAGAUAUCAGGAGGAACACCGGUGGCGAAGGCGGUUCUCUGGGCCUUACCUGACGCUGAGGAGCGAAAGCGUGGGGAGCAAACAGG
rnacentral:rRNA from 1 species